ACCCUCUUUAAAUGAAAUAUCCACUUUACCCUUAAUGAAUUUAUUCUUUUUGUUUUAUUUUUUAUCUUUCCAGCAAUUAACUAAAAAAUAAAAAAAAAUGGCUUCCUUUCACCUUCGCCGACUUAAGUUCGUAUCUUCUCCGGCAGCACGCGAUGUCUCCGGCCAUCAACUUUGACGGCAGCACGCAGUGUCUCCAGUGCUCUCCGUGAGUCGCGACCAUCUUCUUUCAAUCGCACGAUGGUCUAUUGCUCCAACCUCCACCAAUGUUGUGCUCUAUAACACGUAAGCGAGUUCCGCCGAUUCCGCCAAGUCGCCAUGUCGGCGUGACCUUAGACCCUCACCGCCGACUCCGUCAGCUUCGAUUUCAGUCAAUCAUGGAUGAAGAUGGAUUGAGCAGAUCUCAAUCAACCAUGGAUGAGCGAUUCAAUCGAAUCUGGUGGGGAAACCAACUUUUCAUUAUUUGUGUUUUUGGUCCUCAAAUGUUUUGUUUCUCUUCAUUUUGGUCCCAAACUUUAUAAUUAACAAGAUUUUUUUUCUGUUUUCAGAUUGAACUUUUCAAUUAUGCACUUUAAACCAUGUUAGCUAAAAAUGGACAAAUAAAUACAAUAUACAUACACCUAAAUACAAUUUAAAAUGAUUAAAAUAAGCUAAAACUAACUGCAUAAUAAGAAAAAUCAUGAAAUUGCUAAUGGAGUGGGUUAUAGAAGAUGGUAAACUGGUACGACUCAUAUAACUAAACAUAUAACUCAAAUACUAGACAUGUAAUACUGGUUUAAUUGGUACAACUUCAUAGUAUAUAUCAGACAUGUAAUACUAGUACUACUGGUUGAACUUCUUCAUUAUAGAAAUUUAAAAAUUUCAUUUGCUUUUCCAUAUGAAAAAAUACAACUAUAUACAAAUUUGUACAACCCAAAAUUUGGUACAACUACGUAUUAUUCAAAGAACGUAGUUAUACCGGUUAAACCAAUCAUACAUAUUGUUCUCGUAAUUAUACUAGUUGUACUAUUUAUAUUGAUGGUAGUAAUCUACUUUUCUUUUAAUUUUGUGUCUUUUAUAUUUUCAUUUUCUUCAAGUAAGGAUAUUUCUAUUGAUAACAUUAAAAUAUUUUCCAAGUAUCUGUAAUGCCUAUAGAAAAUCAUAUAUAAAAUCAUCGACAAUAAAAUAUUAAUACUACUACUACCGUAGUCAAACCAGUUGUACUAUUAUUGUUGUAAUACUACUACAUGUUUCAGUUUUAUUAAUUAUAUAUGGCUUUUCAUAGGAAAAUAACAAUAGACUAGACAAGUUGGAAGUUCCUUAGAAUGGUCCAUCCUAUUUAUUUGAAAUUUUACCAAAUUUUUUUUCGUAAUUAUUACAUAAUGGUAUAAGUUUCCAUGAUCUACCUUAUACUUUAAGGGUUUGUUUACUGUAUUUUUUAAAAACGUACACCAAAUAUAUUUUAAGAAAAUUAAUGAUUCAGUUGCAUGUGCGCAUAUGUAUUUAAGUAAAUGAGAGUUGUACAACUGAAGUAUAUAUAUUUAAUAUGUGGUACAACUAAAAUUUUCAAAUUUUCAACCAAAAUACAACUAUGUACAAAGUUGUACAACUCAAAACCUGGUACAACUAUAUAUACGGUUGUACAACUAGAAUACUCUUACAACUACAUGUUAUUUUGUUUAUCAUGUUUUAGUUGUUUAUCACGUUUUGAAUGUGCUGCACAUUCUAAACGUGAUGGUUGUACCUUCUUUUGUCAAGUUGUACCAGUUUUACUUGUCAAAAUAAUUUUGCCAUACCUAACCUGGUUAUACUAGUUAUACCAAUAACAUGUCACAAUCAAACAGGUUGAAAACCACUAUGACAAACAGAAGUUCACUACUAAAUCACAAACAUAAGUCUUAAGUUUUACACAUACAAAAACAACACAAGUUCACUACCAAAUCAGAAACAUACAAGUUUUAAUUUUGACAAAAGCAGCACCAACAUCCAAAAGCAGCAUAAAAAAUUUGAGUUUCAAAUACAAGACACACAUAGAUUACUUUAGGACAUAUGGAGACUGAUGUGCACGAGAAGGCUUUGCCAACCUCAUCAUCCUUGUCAAGGCCUCUCCAUCCUCUGGUGAAUCUUCAACAUCUUCAUUCACUUCCUCUGGAGCUUCCUUCUUAACCUUCUCGGCAUUUGCUGCCAUCACUUCAAGCUCAUUCUCACCCUCCUUUGUAGCCUCUUUAUUAGUGUCAACCUUUUCCAUCUGCUCACGAUCAUUCUCGCCAUCAUUCUCCAGCUCAUUCUCGCCUUCUUUUCAGAUGUUGAACUAUGGGAGCCCGUGAAACCACUUAUUUUCAGAUGCAUCAGAAUCUUCAAUCAACUUGAUGAAAUGAUGUUGAUGACACCUUGAGGAGAGCUUAUAGGGCUUCCCGUACUCGGCCAGUUGGAAGUAAAACCUGUGUGGUUUGAUUGCUCCUCCAGCCAUCUGCUCACCAGGCACAAAAAAUAUAACAUUAAUAUAAUUGGAAAACUAAGGAGUUGUACUAGUAAGUUAUACUUAUUACACAAGUGCUAGUUGUACGAGUGCACAAGUUAUAAAUAUGCAAGUUAUACUAUUAAUACGAGUAUUACAAGUUCUAUUAGAGUUGUAGUUGUACGAGUAUUGCAAGUUUUAUACUAAAAUAGGUUAUAUUUGUACGAGAUAUACAAGUAAUACAUAGAACAUUUGUACAAGUUAUAUUAGUUAGCUAUGUUCUACUUAUAGCUAUAUAUGUUAUAGUUGUACGAGUUAUACAAGUAAUACACAAAAAAGUUGUACAAGUUAUAAUAGUUACAUAUGUUCUACAAGUUAUACAUAUAACAAUUGUACAAUUAUUAUUAGUUAGAUAAAUAAUAAUUGUACGAGUAAAGGAAGUUUUACAUAUUACCGUUAUAGUUAAAUAUGUCGUAGUUGUACGAGUAAUAUAAGUUAUACAUAUAACAGUUGUACAAAUAAUAAUAGUUAUCAUUUAACAGUUGUUCAAAUAAUACUAGUUAGAUAAGUACUAGUUGUACAAGCGAUACAUGUUUUACAUAUUCCAGUUGUAUUAGAAAUAUGAGUAAUACACUAUUGACAUGUUCUACUUAGAAGUUAAACCUGAAGUAGUUGUACCAAUUACACAAUUUUAUAUUUCAUAGUUGUAUUAGUAAUACUAGUUAAACUUAUUUCAGUUGUAGUAGGCACAUUUUUCUUAAGUACAACUAAAUCUACUAGAACAACUAUAUACAAUAUAUAUCCUAGUUGUAUCAUAUUACAAAAACUGAAUUCAAGUUGAUUUUUACAUGUGUAGCAUUAUGUUCGUCGGGUGUGUGAGCGUCACCGUGAUUUGACGUAGUUUCUUCAAGAUUUUCUCUUCAUUCCGAAGAAGGUGUCCCCCUCCUAGUGGAAGACCUGGAAAGAGGUGUAACCGGAAGGUUUUGUGACCCCGCCGCCUCUUCUGACUGUGUUGACUCACUGCCGGACCUAGUAGGAGAAGCAGCCGGAGUAGGGUCCGCCAGAGUAGGAGAAGCACUCGGAUUUUUUCGUCGCAGACUUUUAGGGUUAUGGUUCCGCCGCAGCCGCUUACUGGGUUGAGAUGACGAACCACCAUCGUCUCUUCCGUGUUCUUCUACCAUAGAUGGCCUAUCUCAGUUCUUCUUUGCUGGUUCGAUGUUCUUCUUCGGCGGUGGAGAUUCCUUCUUGUUAUUAGUUCCUCUGAUUGUAGGUGGCAUCUUCGUGACAAAGAGAUAGAUCGAGAAGUUCGAUUGAGAUAGAGACAGAGUUCUGAUCGUGAAGGUGUGGAGAAAGUGGACGAAAGUAGGGGAGUUGUCGGGAGUUGUCUUUCGUAGAUGGAGGCUUUGUCUAUUUGGGGAUUUAAGUUUUCAGUCGGGGUUGGGUCGGUUUAAGAGUCGGGUAGGAUAGUAAUGGUACG
rnacentral:lncRNA from 1 species